rfam:Lupinus angustifolius cultivar Tanjil chromosome LG14, whole genome shotgun sequence.
CAGAAAUGGGAGUUCCUUACAGUCCAAAGCGCCCCGCGACUUAACUUCGCAAUGUUUUGGACUGAAGGGAGCUCCUACUUCUU